rnacentral:rRNA from 1 species
GACGAACGCUGGCGGCGUGCCUAAUACAUGCAAGUAGAACGCUGAAGGAGGAGCUUGCUCUUCUGGAUGAGUUGCGAACGGGUGAGUAACGCGUAGGUAACCUGCCUGGUAGCGGGGGAUAACUAUUGGAAACGAUAGCUAAUACCGCAUAAGAGUAGAUGUUGCAUGACAUUUACUUAAAAGGUGCAAUUGCAUCACUACCAGAUGGACCUGCGUUGUAUUAGCUAGUUGGUGGGGUAACGGCUUACCAAGGCGACGAUACAUAGCCGACCUGAGAGGGUGAUCGGCCACACUGGGACUGAGACACGGCCCAGACUCCUACGGGAGGCAGCAGUAGGGAAUCUUCGGCAAUGGACGGAAGUCUGACCGAGCAACGCCGCGUGAGUGAAGAAGGGUUUCGGAUCGUAAAGCUCUGUUGUAAGAGAAGAACGAGGGUGAGAGUGGAAAGUUCACACUGUGACGGUAGCUGACCAGAAAGAGACGGCUAACUACGUG